CAAACUCCUGGCCUCAAUGAUCUGCCUACCUCAGCCUCCCAAAGUGCUGGGAUUACAGGCGUGAACCACCACGCCUGGCCCACAUAUUCUUAAGGGUUGGGGAUUCUGUGAGAAGUUUUAAAAGCUUUUCAUAUUUGAUUAUCUUUAAGUUUAAAAAAUAAUUACAGAAUGUUUUGAAAAAUACAGAGAUUUCCACUGGGUGUAGUGGCUCAUGCCUGUAAUU